rnacentral:rRNA from 1 species
AUGAACGCUAGCGACAGGCUUAACACAUGCAAGUCGAGGGGCAUCAUGAGGUAGCAAUACCUUGAUGGCGACCGGCGCACGGGUGAGUAACGCGUAUGCAACCUGCCUGAUACCGGGGUAUAGCCCAUGGAAACGUGGAUUAACACCCCAUAGUACUUUUAUCCUGCAUGGGAUGUGAGUUAAAUGUUCAAGGUAUCGGAUGGGCAUGCGUCCUAUUAGUUAGUUGGCGGGGUAACAGCCCACCAAGACGAUGAUAGGUAGGGGUUCUGAGAGGAAGGUCCCCCACAUUGGAACUGAGACACGGUCCAAACUCCUACGGGAGGCAGCAGUGAGGAAUAUUGGUCAAUGGACGUAAGUCUGAACCAGCCAAGUCGCGUGAGGGAAGACUGCCCUAUGGGUUGUAAACCUCUUUUAUAAGGGAAGAAUAAGUUCUACGUGUAGAAUGAUGCCUGUACCUUAUGAAUAAGCAUCGGCUAACUCCGUGCCAGCAGCCGCGGUAAUACGGAGGAUGCGAGCGUUAUCCGGAUUUAUUGGGUUUAAAGGGUGCGUAGGCGGUUUAUUAAGUUAGUGGUUAAAUAUUUGAGCUAAACUCAAUUGUGCCAUUAAUACUGGUAAACUGGAGUACAGACGAGGUAGGCGGAAUAAGUUAAGUAGCGGUGAAAUGCAUAGAUAUAACUUAGAACUCCGAUAGCGAAGGCAGCUUACCAGACUGUAACUGACGCUGAUGCACGAGAGCGUGGGUAGCGAACAGGAUUAGAUACCCUGGUAGUCCACGCCGUAAACGAUGCUCACUGGUUCUGUGCGAUAUAUUGUACGGGAUUAAGCGAAAGUAUUAAGUGAGCCACCUGGGGAGUACGUCGGCAACGAUGAAACUCAAAGGAAUUGACGGGGGCCCGCACAAGCAGUGGAGUAUGUGGUUUAAUUCGAAGCAACGCGAAGAACCUUACCUGCUCUUGACAUCUCCCUGACCGGCAAGUAAUGUUGCCUUUCCUUCGGGACAGGGAUGACAGGUGGUGCAUGGUUGUCGUCAGCUCGUGCCGUGAGGUGUCGGGUUAAGUCCCAUAACGAGCGCAACCCUUACCGUUAGUUGCUAGCAUGUAAUGAUGAGCACUCUAACGGGACUGCCACCGUAAGGUGAGAGGAAGGCGGGGAUGACGUCAAAUCAGCACGGCCCUUACACCCAGGGCUACACACGUGUUACAAUGGCCGGUACAGAGGGCCGCUACCAGGUGACUGGAUGCCAAUCUCAAAAGCCGGUCGUAGUUCGGAUUGGAGUCUGUAACCCGACUCCAUGAAGUUGGAUUCGCUAGUAAUCGCGCAUCAGCCAUGGCGCGGUGAAUACGUUCCCGGGCCUUGUACACACCGCCCGUCAAGCCAUGGAAGCCGGGGGUGCCUGAAGUCCGUAACCGCGAGGAUCGGCCUAGGGCAAAACUGGUAACUGGGGCU